rnacentral:lncRNA from 1 species
AUUCGCUGCCUUAUUUAUUUCAUUACGAUUAUUUUAGAGUACAAAAACUUUUCGAUACCAUCAUUAUGACUAAAUGACGGCUUGUAAAAUGUUUUAGUAGGGUAUUUCUGUACACUCUUAAGUCCAGCCCUAAAUGCAUAAUGACGUGGGAAUAGAAAUUGACAAUAUUAUAUAACAUCUGCAUUCACCAUUUAACACAAACUGAUUUAAAAUUAGGUUCAAACCCGAACCACCAUAAAAAAAAACUAGGUUCACAAUACAUAGACGGUGGACAAUCAGAAUCUUCUAUACACUUAGCAAACGCUGCACAAAAAAAGAGAAUAAAACAAUAUAAUUAAAAUGAGAUGAAAUGUUUUUUACAAAGUAAAGAACGAAAUUUGAAAUGGAUAAAAAAUGUAUUACCAUCAAUGUUUAUUGAAACAAGAAAUACAUACAAAAAGAUAAUCAUAAAAUAAACAAACUGAACAAAUUUAGCCAUACUCUUCCACGACACUCUUCGUAUAUAAC